rnacentral:lncRNA from 1 species
CUUGAACCACUGGCUCCCAGGAUCACACAUAUCAUCUCUACUCAAGCACUUGCAGGAAUUUGUGACAAUGUCGUCGCUGGAGUCUACAUCCAAGCAAACAGUGGUGCCAUUCCCCAGCUUAGUUGACAGGUACAUCUUUGAAUCUGAAAUGCUUUCCCAAUUUGACCCUGGGUUAGAACAUAUCACACUAAGUUUUGCAGGCUUCCCCAGCCCAACUGCUUGAAGGCAGAGGUAUGUUCCCUUUAUUAUUAAGAUCUUCUGGGGGGUGUAGCCCCAGGCUUCCGACUCGGUGCAUGGACCCAGCUUUAAUGGCUCAGACAGUGAUCCCCUUAGAACGCAAAGACCCGUAGAAGGAUGCAAGACCAUUUUAUAUGGUCUGGCAUGGGGUGCAUCCGGCCCUGCAUAGCACAUGAAAGCACACAAAAUUUAGCUAUGAAUAAUUAAGCAAAUUUGCCUUAUUUGCCUUGGCAACCAACCUUGAAAAGGAGAUUGGAGGGCUCAAAUCCUCUGGAAGAAGCUUGAGUUCCAAUUCAGCAAGGAGAAGAAGAAUAAGAAGAACCUCCCCAUCCUGGGAUUUGUAUUGCCUAGCUGUUGGAUUGAUGGAAGACUGAGCGUCUUACCAUUGUAUUCAUAUGUUGUGUUCUUACCAUUAUUUCUUUUGAUUUUGGGGGUUUAAUUAGAUUUGUUUGUUGGAUUUUGAUUUUCGAUAUGUUAUAAUCAAUAUUAUGUUUUUAAUUUCAUUAGUUAUGUUUUAUAAUAUUUGUAAGAGAAAAAAAUAAUAAUAAAAAAUAACACCAAGGCAAUUCUAAGCAUAAUAAAGACUAAUUUAAAUCAAUUUUUAUUAUUUUUACUUAAAUUAUGGUACAAGAUUUUACAUGAGUUUUGGAACUUACUUUUGACUUCUGUUGAAAGAAAAGAAAAGGAAAGAAAAAAGAAGUAAAUAUUGGUGAAAGAUAUGGUUUCUAAAUUGGAUUUAUUUUCAUGGAAACAAAUUUCAGAACACUAUAUAAAGUCGACUCUUAAUUCCUCCUCCUAUAAGACAUCAAAAUUCAAAACAAACCUACGUAAAUCGGGAAUUUAAAGAGGUUGGGUCUUUGUUAGAACCAUGCAACAGAUCAGAUUUUUAUUCUUCCUAUUUUCUAUGUGUUCUCACCAUUAUUUCUCUUCGUUUUAAGAGUUUAAUUAGAUUUGUUUGCGGGGUUUUGAUUUUCACUUGAUGUAAGCAUAUGUUGUUGAUUCUUUGAUUGAAGUUGUUCUUUUAAAUGCUUCUCAUCUCUUUGAUUUUUUUUUUUCUUUUUUGUAGGCUACUUUUGAUUUUAUUAUUAUUGUCAUUGCCAUUAGUGUUCACUAAUGGGUUCAGAAACAAAUGGUGGUUUUCUUGCAUGGAAACCAAAGAAACAUCCGUUGGAAUAGCACACAUCUGCAUUUUCUGAUGUUUUCAUGGGGAAUAAAGGGCAGAAGAUUUGUGUUAUUCGUGAUUUUCCAGACGGAUGCGGACCAUUCAUCAAGCCAAUUGUUUUGGCCUAUUCAAUGAAGUACAAACCCCCCUUCCUUUGUUUGUGAUUUUCCUUGGGGUUGUGGCCAUGGAAGGAUCACUAUGCAAAGCAAUGUGUUAUUGGAAGAGGAUGAGGAUGAUGCACAGAUAGAACCUUUUGAAGAUGCUGUGGAGUUGCAUUCUCCAAGAGUGUUAGAAAAUUUUUCCAAGACAGAAUUGGAUUGCUUCCUCAUGGAAGAAGAAGAUGAAAAUGAUUGAACAUUUUGGGAAUGCUUUGGACUCACCACUUCAUAAAGAGCUGGAAGAUUUUGUUCAAUCAAAAUCGCAAGUGUUGAUAAUUCAGAGGUGCUCGAAAAUUUUGCUCAAUCAGAAUCCAUCUGAGUUGAUGAUAGAAGACUUUGAUAGUGCUGGAUUGCAGAAGCCAUCAAAAACCUCAGAUCAUGAAAGUACUGAAUUAUCUAAGGAAGAUUUGGAAGAGAAUCAAAUACUAUACUCCUUGGAAAUUGAGAGGCUUUUGGGCUGCACAAGACUUUCCUUUGGGUUGUGGAAGAAAGCCUAGGGUGUUCAGGGAUGAUAUGGAAAACCAGAGCCAUGAAUUUCAAGUUGAAAUCCAGCCUGAGAUGAUGCUGAAAAUGGAAGAUACAGAGGAAAAGAGUGUUACUUCUUGCAACAGUAACUUCUAUCAACCAGAGGAGGUUGGAGGUGUGCAUGACAACGUGAGGACAGAGCUUCAAUUCCAAAGAGAAGAGCCCUUCAGUUCUAAACUUCCUAUGGGCAGGGUGGUUGUGCUGGCUUUGAUGGCUGCACCAAAUUGUCCAUGGAGGAAUGCAAAGAGGGUGCAGAAAUCUACAACAGAAACGUGGUGCCACUGGAGGCAAAAAGAUUCAUUAACUCAUAGAAGAAUGCUAUUUAAUUUGUAGAGAAAGAUGAGGAGGAGAAAACCCAAUUCAAUUUUUUCUUUUCUUUCCUUUAGGAUGUAAGCAGCAAUCAAGAGCUCAUCUUUUAUAUGCUACAUACUAUGUUAUGCGGGUAGUCGUAACAUUCUAGGGGAGACAAAGGUUAAGGUUUUACCUGUUAAACUCGCCUUGUAUGCAACAGCUUUCUCAAGGUAUUCACCAUUAAAUGUUGAACCACUGAAAUC